GGAUCAUUACUGAGUUAUCUACAACUCCCCAAACCCUUUGUGAACCUUACCGUAGUUGCCUCGGCGUGAGCUGCGCUUGCCUUAUAGUUACCCCGCACCUCGCGUGCCCCGGUGGGGCUGUCUGGUAGCGCGUGUCCGGCCCGCCGGAGGACCGCUAAACUCUUGUGUAAACCACUGUAAUUCUGAAUCCUUAACUGAAAAUACGUUAAAACUUUCAACAACGGAUCUCUUGGUUCUGGCAUCGAUGAAGAACGCAGCGAAAUGCGAUAAGUAAUGUGAAUUGCAGAAUUCAGUGAAUCAUCGAAUCUUUGAACGCACAUUGCGCCCGUUAGCAUUCUAGCGGGCAUGCCUAUUCGAGCGUCAUUUCGACCCUUAAGCCCUUGUUGCUUAGCGUUGGGAGCCUACGGUUACAGCGUAGCUCCUCAAAGACAGCGGCGGCGUUCAGGCGCACUCUAAGCGUAGUAAUUUACCUCUCGCUUCCGUAGUGCCCUAGACUGCUGGCCGUAAAACGUACUUAUAGUGGUUGACCUCGGAUUAGGUAGGAAUACCCGCUGAACUUAAGCAUAUCAAUAAGCGGAGGAAAAGAAACCAACAGGGAUUGCCCUAGUAACGGCGAGUGAAGCGGCAACAGCUCAAAUUUGAAAUCUGGCCCUCGCGGUCCGAGUUGUAAUUUGUAGAGGAUGCUUUAGGUGCGGUGCCUUCCGAGUUCCCUGGAACGGGACGCCGGAGAGGGUGAGAGCCCCGUACGGUUGGACACCUAUCUUAUAUAUAGCUCCUUCAACGAGUCGAGUAGUUUGGGAAUGCUGCUCUAAAUGGGAGGUAAAUUUCUUCUAAAGCUAAAUACCGGCCAGAGACCGAUAGCGCACAAGUAGAGUGAUCGAAAGAUGAAAAGCACUUUGAAAAGAGGGUUAAAUAGCACGUGAAAUUGUUGAAAGGGAAGCGUUUGCGACCAGACUUUCUCCAGGCGGAUCAUCCGGCGUUCUCGCCGGUGCACUUCGCCUGGGUUAGGCCAGCAUCGGUUUUCCUAGGGGGAUAAAGGCUUAGGGAACGUAGCUCCUUCGGGAGUGUUAUAGCCCUUUGCGUAAUACCCUUAGGGGGACCGAGGCCCGCG
rnacentral:misc_RNA from 1 species